rnacentral:rRNA from 1 species
UAGCUAGUUGGUGAGGUAAAGGCUUACCAAGGCGACGAUCUGUAGCGGGUCUGAGAGGAUGAUCCGCCACACUGGAACUGAGACACGGUCCAGACUCCUACGGGAGGCAGCAGUGGGGAAUUUUGGACAAUGGGGGCAACCCUGAUCCAGCCAUGCCGCGUGAGUGAAGAAGGCCUUCGGGUUGUAAAGCUCUUUCGGCCGGGAAGAAAUCGCAUGGGCCAAUACCCUGUGUGGAUGACGGUACCGGAAUAAGAAGCACCGGCUAACUACGUGCCAGCAGCCGCGGUAAUACGUAGGGUGCGAGCGUUAAUCGGAAUUACUGGGCGUAAAGCGUGCGCAGGCGGUUUUGUAAGACAGGCGUGAAAUCCCCGGGCUUAACCUGGAACUGCGUUUGUGACUGCAAGGCUAGAGUACGGCAGAGGGGGGUGGAAUUCCACGUGUAGCAGUGAAAUGCGUAGAGAUGUGGAGGAACACCAAUGGCGAAGGCAGCCCCCUGGGUCGAUACUGACGCUCAUGCACGAAAGCGUGGGUAGCAAACAGGAUUAGAUACCCUGGUAGUCCACGCCCUAAACUAUGUCAACUAGGUGUUGGGUGGGUAAAACCAUUUAGUACCGUAGCUAACGCGUGAAGUUGACCGCCUGGGGAGUACGGCCGCAAGGUUAAAACUCAAAGGAAUUGACGGGGACCCGCACAAGCGGUGGAUGAUGUGGAUUAAUUCGAUGCAACGCGAAAAACCUUACCUACCCUUGACAUGCCAGGAACUUGCCAGAGAUGGCUUGGUGCCCGAAAGGGAGCCUGGACACAGGUGCUGCAUGGCUGUCGUCAGCUCGUGUCGUGAGAUGUUGGGUUAAGUCCCGCAACGAGCGCAACCCUUGUCGUUAAUUGCCAUCAUUUAGUUGGGCACUUUAACGAGACUGCCGGUGACAAACCGGAGGAAGGUGGGGAUGACGUCAAGUCCUCAUGGCCCUUAUGGGUAGGGCUUCACACGUCAUACAAUGGUCGGUACAAAGGGUUGCCAAGCCGCGAGGCGGAGCCAAUCCCAGAAAGCCGAUCGUAGUCCGGAUUGCAGGCUGCAACUCGCCUGCAUGAAGUCGGAAUCGCUAGUAAUCGUGGAUCAGCAUGUCACGGUGAAUACGUUCCCGGGUCUUGUACACACCGCCCGUCACACCAUGGGAGCGGGUUCCGCCAGAAGUAGGUAGCCUAACCGCAAGGGGGGCGCUUACCACGGCGGGGUUCGUGACUGGGGUGAAGUCGUAACAAGGUAGCCGUAGGGGAACCUGCGGCUG